CGAUUUCCAUAUGUGCACCAGCAACCAUCGCAUUACUUCCAGUGCGACGGUAACCGCUUUGACUCGAACGAGAUCCAUUGUAGGCCCGGCAGGUCAUGUUGAAUUUGAUCCAGUGCAUUCUGCAACAAAAUUACGUUCCGUAGAAUGGAGAAAACAAAAAACAAAUCUAACAGAAAAUUUAACGGAAAUCAACAUUCAUCGCAAAUCAAACGUAGAUUGGAUCGAGUCACUAUUGAUGCGUCGCAGCAUCAGCCGUACAAAUUCGACAAUUAUUCGAAUCUGUUCCCGCACGGCAAAUAUAUAUUAUGUCGCUGAUGAACCUGAAUUCGGUUGCGCUGAAGCUGUCGCCUUCUUCGACAUGCUGAAAAACCUGCAAUAAGGUAGCAAACAUCAAGGCGAGGAGUCAGCUCCAACCGAAUUCUUCAGUUGGCUGGAGUAAAAACGACUCGAAGAGAAAAGGUCCGAUCACGUUUUGCUUAUCUACCACGAGUAGAUGAAAAGAUACAACCUGUUGAACGGGUUUCCCGCAAUGGUCAAAUUGAGCCGGAGAAAAUAUUUCUCUAACUGACAUUGCAGUGCAGUUGUUACUGGACGGGAGUAACGUGUCUGUUGGACCUGGUUGGAUAACAAUCUGGUACGACCACUGGUGAGUGACGACACAGAACAUCCGCAACAAUCCGAUGUAGGCCGUGUGCCAAUCGGCGACAAGCAGUCUUUCUAGUCGAAAUCUUUGCCGAACAACGUAUAGCAGCAUUGCCUAAACUUCCCGUACCAGCAACUAGAUUGAAGGAAUUCGACGAUCCGGUCGUUACGUCAUGUUUAUCGUCGUGACGAAGCAUCUACUCACGCAGCGGAUGGGAAAAGGCGGGUACCAUUUCGAAAAGCACGAUGGUGGACGGUGCUAGAAUUUUUGCCCUUUACGGAGCUCAAUUUCUAUGUGUUCACCAACAACUAUCGCAUUACUUCCAGUGCGACGGUAACCGCUUUAACUCGUCGCUGAUGAACCUGAAUUUGGUUGCGCUGACGCUGUCGCCUUCUUCGAUAUGCUGAAAGGCCUGCAAUAAGGUAGUAAACAGAAAUGCGUAGGAGUCAGCUCUAAACGAAUUCUUCAUUUGGCUGGAGUAAAAACGACUCGAAGAUGAAGGUCCUAUCACGUUUUGCUUAUCUACCACGAAUAGUGCAAAUUUGUCUCGCACAUGGUGUUCAAGGCACUGUACAGCCUGUGAAAUGGGUUUCCCGCAACGGUCAAAUUGAGCCGAAGAAAAUAUUUCUCUAACUGACAUUGCAGUGCAGUUGUUACUGGACGGGAGUAACGCGUCUGUUGGACCUGAUUGGAUAACAAUCUGGCACGACCACUGGUGAGUGACGACACAGAACAUCUGCAACAAUCCUAUGUAGGCCGUGUGCCAAUCGGCGACAAGCAGUUUUUCGGGUCGAAAUCUUGGCCGAACAACGUAUAGCAGCAUUGCCUAAACUUCCCGUACCAGCAACUAGGUAAGGUAAAUUCUCUAUAAUGCAUCCGACCACAAUUAAUAAAUUCUGUUAUUGGAAUUCCACGAUCCGGUCAUUACGUCACGUUAGCAUCUACAUACGCAGCCGGCGGGAAAAACGGAUUACAUUGGGAAACGCACGAUGGUAAACGGUGCUGGUAUUAUGCACUCAACGGAGUUCGCUUUCCAUAUUUGCAUCAGACCAGCACCGUAGCAUUGCUUCCAGUGCGACGAUAAUUAUGCUUUUUUAUAUUCUUUUUAUGCUUGGAAAGCGCAAUUGUUGAAUAUAAAAUGUAAAUAAAACAGAUUGCAUCAACUG